rnacentral:rRNA from 1 species
GACGAACGCUGGCGGCGUGCUUAACACAUGCAAGUCGAACGGAAAGGCCCUUCGGGGUACUCGAGUGGCGAACGGGUGAGUAACACGUGGGUGAUCUGCCCUGCACUUUGGGAUAAGCCUGGGAAACUGGGUCUAAUACCGAAUAGGACCGCGCGCUUCAUGGUGUGUGGUGGAAAGCUUUUGCGGUGUGGGAUGGGCCCGCGGCCUAUCAGCUUGUUGGUGGGGUAAUGGCCUACCAAGGCGACGACGGGUAGCCGGCCUGAGAGGGUGACCGGCCACACUGGGACUGAGAUACGGCCCAGACUCCUACGGGAGGCAGCAGUCGAGAGGCUUCGGCAAUGGGGGAAACCCUGACCGAGCGACGCCGCGUGAAGGAUGAAGGCCCUUGGGUUGUAAACUUCUUUUGUCAGCGAAGAAAUGCGAUCAGGUGAAUAAUCUGGUCGCUUGACGGUAGCUGACGAAUAAGCUCCGGCUAACUCCGUG